CGUGGGUGAGGAAGGCUUUCGGGUCGUAAAGCCCUGUCAGGUGGGAAGAAAUGGUUAUAUGUUAAUAUCUUAUAGCUUUGACGGUACCACCAAAGGAAGCACCGGCUAACUCCGUGCCAGCAGCCGCGGUAAUACGGAGGGUGCAAACGUUGUUCGGAAUCACUGGGCGUAAAGGGCGCGCAGGCGGUUUGAUUAGCCAGAUGUGAAAGCCCACGGCUUAACCGUGGAAGUGCAUUUGAAACUGUCAGACUUGAGUACCAGAGGGGGUAGUGGAAUUCCCGGUGUAGAGGUGAAAUUCGUAGAUAUCGGGAGGAAUACCGGUGGCGAAGGCGACUACCUGGCUGGAUACUGACGCUGAGGCGCGAAAGCGUGGGGAGCAAACAGGAUUAGAUACCCUGGUAGUCCACGCCGUAAACGAUGUCAACUAGAUGUAGGGGGUGUUGAUCCCCUCUGUGUCGCAGCUAACGCAUUAAGUUGACCGCCUGGGGAGUACGGUCGCAAGAUUA
rnacentral:rRNA from 1 species